UUGAAGAAUUUAAAAACUCCAACUUGCAGGAUUAAAGAAUUUGAAGACUUCAACUUGCAGAAUUGGAGAAUUUGAAGACUUCAACU
rnacentral:pre_miRNA from 1 species